ACAUGCCUACAACUUAGAGUUAAUGCACCAAAUCCUAUUAGAACUCCACAGUUAAGUGUGCUUGGGUUAGAGUAGUACUGGGAUGGGUGACCGCCCAGGAAGUCCUAGAAUUUUACAUGCC
rnacentral:rRNA from 1 species